rnacentral:lncRNA from 1 species
UAUUUCUCCCCCUUUUUGACAACAUCAAAAAGAUGGUGAAACAUUAAGCACAAAGAUAAGAAUACUCAAAUAUUUCUUAUUGUACUCUGAUUUGCAUGUCAAAUUAUUGCAAGGAUAUGAAUCAUAUAACUCAAGGCAAUAAUAUUAGAAUCAGAUUAAUGAGCAUAGAUCAGAGCCAAUUAAGAUAAUUUCAGAGCAGAACACAUCGAAUGUGAUUUCAAGAAGUUUUCUAAUUUGAUACCACAGAUAGUUUUCUAAUCAAGCGUAGGUGGAAUCUUCCUUAAGUUAAUUCAAGAAGUACCACAAAUAAUAUUCAAGAAAAGCACGAAUGGAAAUCUGACCUCUCUUCAAUAAUAAGUAUGAAAGCUUGUUCAUUUAAGAUCUUUUGCCCA